rnacentral:rRNA from 1 species
UGGGGAAUAUUGGACAAUGGGGGGAACCCUGAUCCAGCAAUGCCGCGUGAAGGAUGAAGUAUUUCGGUAUGUAAACUUCGAAAGAAUAGGAAGAAUAAAUGACGGUACUAUUUAUAAGGUCCGGCUAACUACGUGCCAGCAGCCGCGGUAAUACGUAGGGACCAAGCGUUGUUCGGAUUUACUGGGCGUAAAGGGCGCGUAGGCGGCAAUUCAAGUCAUCUGUGAAAUCUCCGGGCUUAACUCGGAACGGUCAGAUGAUACUGCUUUGCUAGAGUGCAGAAGGGGCAAUCGGAAUUCUUGGUGUAGCGGUGAAAUGCGUAGAUAUCAAGAGGAACACCUGAGGUGAAGACGGGUUGCUGGGCUGACACUGACGCUGAGGCGCGAAAGCCAGGGGAGCAAACGGGAUUAGAUACCCUCGUAGUCCCUGAGCGGGCUGGCAAGGCGCAU